rnacentral:rRNA from 1 species
UACGAAGGGUCCAAGCGUUGUUCGGAAUCAUUGGGCGUAAAGCGCGCGCAGGCGGCUCAGUAAGUCAGGUGUGAAAUCUCGAGGCUCAACCUCGAAAUUGCGCCUGAAACUACUAGUCUAGAAUGUCAGAGGGGGCAGGGGAAUUUCACGUGUAGGGGUAAAAUCCGUAGAGAUGUGAAGGAACACCGGAGGCGAAGGCGCCUGCCUGGACGACUAUUGACGCUGAGGCGCGAAAGCGUGGGGAGCAAACAGG